GGGGUCGAUUUGGCUUCGACAAGAUUCGUAUCCCUUGAGUGCAUGUCGGCUCGGUAAGCCGUAAAACUGCCAUACAAAUAAACGCAAACAAUGCAAACUUCGCUCCAGCUUACGCGAAAGCAGCAUAAGCCUAACUAAUUCCGGAGCCGAUUACUUAAGCGAGACUAGCGCGCUUGUGUGAUCGUUACUUAUGCUAGUUGCCCCUAGAUUCUGCUCGAUCUCUAGGGAAAGAUGAGAGCUUUUUGCGCAAGUAAAGUUUAAGGUCUUUUUGCGCGAGAAUCUAAAACCUUAGCCCUUUAAGCAUGUCGAGUCUCUUGCGGUCGCGGAUUUUGGACUGGGGUUCAACUCCCCACGACUCCACCA
rnacentral:tmRNA from 2 species